GUGUCAGCCGCCGCGGUAAGACGAACCGUGCGAACGUUAUUCGGAAUCAUUGGGCUUAAAGCGCGCGUAGGCGGCGGCGUAAGCGGGGGGUGAAAGGCUAUCGGCUCAACCGUGGCAUGGCUCUCCGGACUGCGUCGCUUGAGGGGGACAGGGGCACGCGGAACUUCCAGUGGAGCGGUGAAAUGUGUUGAGAUUGGAAGGAACGCCAGUGGCGAAAGCGGCGUGCUGGAUCUCGCCUGACGCUGAGGCGCGAAAGCUAGGGGAGCAAACGGGAUUAGAUACCCCGGUAGUCCUAGCCGUAAACGAUGGGUACUGGGUAGGAAGCGGUCCGAUGCCGCCUCCUGCCGCAGCGAAAGUGUUUAGUACCCCGCCUGGGGAGUAUGGCCGCAAGGCUGAA
rnacentral:rRNA from 1 species